GACGAACGCUGGCGGCGUGCUUAACACAUGCAAGUCGAACGGAAAGGCCCUGCUUUUGUGUGGUGCUCGAGUGGCGAACGGGUGAAUAACCCGGGAGUAACCUUGCCUUUACUUUGUGAUAACUUCAGGAAACUGCUGCUAAUACCUGAUAGGAGCGCCUGCUGCAUGGUGGUGUUUGGAACUUUUCGGCGGAUGUGGAUGUACUCGCGGGUUAUGAGCUUGUGGGGUGGGUAGUUGCUUACCAAGGCUUUGAAGGGUAGCCGGCAUGAGAGGGUGAACGGGCACAUUGGGACUGCGAUAGGGAGCAGACUGCAACGGGAGGCAGCAGGGGGGAAUAUUGCACAAUGGGCGGAAGCCUGAUGCAGAAACGCUGGGUGCGGGAUGACGGCCUUCGGGUUGGAAAGCGCUUUAGGCUGUGACGAAGCGUGAGUGACGGUAAUGGGUAAAGAAGCACCGGCUAACUACGUG
rnacentral:rRNA from 1 species